UCCGCGGACGGGUGAGUAACACGUGGGUAACCUGCCUCAUAGAGGGGAAUAGCCUUUCGAAAGGAAGAUUAAUACCGCAUAAGAUUGUAGUACCGCAUGGUACAGCAAUUAAAGGAGUAAUCCGCUAUGAGAUGGACCCGCGUCGCAUUAGCUAGUUGGUGAGGUAACGGCUCACCAAGGCGACGAUGCGUAGCCGACCUGAGAGGGUGAUCGGCCACAUUGGGACUGAGACACGGCCCAGACUCCUACGGGAGGCAGCAGUGGGGAAUAUUGCACAAUGGGGGAAACCCUGAUGCAGCAACGCCGCGUGAGUGAUGACGGCCUUCGGGUUGUAAAACUCUGUCUUUGGGGACGAUAAUGACGGUACCCAAGGAGGAAGCCACGGCUAACUACGUGCCAGCAGCCGCGGUAAUACGUAGGUGGCAAGCGUUGUCCGGAUUUACUGGGCGUAAAGGGAGCGUAGGUGGAUAUUUAAGUGGGAUGUGAAAUACUCGGGCUUAACCUGGGUGCUGCAUUCCAAACUGGAUAUCUAGAGUGC
rnacentral:rRNA from 1 species